rnacentral:rRNA from 1 species
AUUGAACGCUGGCGGCAGGCCUAACACAUGCAAGUCGAACGCAGUGGGGACGGGUGAGUAACACGUGGGUAACCUCCCAUCAGAGGGGAUAAACCUUGGAAACAGGUGCUAAACCGAUACUGAUGGAUGGACUCGCGGUGCAUUAGCUAGUUGGUGAGGUAACGGCUCACCAAGGCCACGAUGCAUAGCCGGCCUGAGAGGAUGACCGGCCACACUGGGACUGAGACACGGCCCAGACUCCUACGGGAGGCAGCAGUAGGGAAUCUUCGGCAAUGGACGAAAGUCUGACCGAGCAACGCCGCGUGAGUGAAGAAGGUUUUCGGAUCGUAAAACACUGUUGUUAGAGAAGCGGUAUCUAACGAGAAAGCCACGGCUAACUACGUGCCAGCAGCCGCGGUAAUAC